CCUACGGGAGGCAGCAGUGGGGAAUAUUGCACAAUGGGCGCAGGCCUGAUGCAGCCAUGCCGCGUGUGUGAAGAAGGCCUUCGGGUUGUAAAGCACUUUCAGCGGGGAGGAAGGCGGUGAGGUUAAUAACCUCAUCGAUUGACGUUACCCGCAGAAGAAGCACCGGCUAACUCCGUGCCAGCAGCCGCGGUAAUACGGAGGGUGCAAGCGUUAAUCGGAAUUACUGGGCGUAAAGCGCACGCAGGCGGUCUGUCAAGUCGGAUGUGAAAUCCCCGGGCUCAACCUGGGAACUGCAUUCGAAACUGGCAGGCUAGAGUCUUGUAGAGGGGGGUAGAAUUCCAGGUUUAGCGGUGAAAUGCGUAGAGAUCUGGAGGAAUACCGGUGGCGAAGGCGGCCCCCUGGACAAAGACUGACGCUCAGGUGCGAAAGCGUGGGGAGCAAACAGGAUUAGAUACCCGGGUAGUC
rnacentral:rRNA from 1 species